rnacentral:rRNA from 1 species
UACGUAGGCAGCAAGCGUUGUUCGGAAUUACUGGGCGUAAAGAGUGUGUAGGCGGUGCUCUAAGUUCGGUGUGAAAUCUCCCGGCUUAACUGGGAGGGUGCGCCGGAAACUGGAGUGCUCGAGCGUGGGAGAGGAAAGCGGAAUUCCUGGUGUAGCGGUGAAAUGCGUAGAUAUCGGGAGGAACACCAGUGGCGAAGGCGGUUGCCUGGGGCUUUGCUGACGCUGAUGCGCGAAAGCGUGGGGAGCGAGCCGG